rnacentral:rRNA from 1 species
GCGGCAGCGCGGGGGCAACCCUGGCGGCGAGCGGCGAACGGGUGAGUAACAUAUCGGAACGUACCCUAUCGUGGGGGAUAACACAUCGAAAGAUGUGCUAAUACCGCAUACGACCUGAGGGUGAAAGCAGGGGAUCGCAAGACCUUGCGCGACGGGAGCGGCCGAUAUCGGAUUAGCUAGUUGGUGAGGUAAAGGCUCACCAAGGCGACGAUCCGUAGCUGGUCUGAGAGGACGACCAGCCACACUGGAACUGAGACACGGUCCAGACUCCUACGGGAGGCAGCAGUGGGGAAUUUUGGACAAUGGGGGCAACCCUGAUCCAGCCAUUCCGCGUGAGUGAAGAAGGCCUUCGGGUUGUAAAACUCUUUCAGCAGGAACGAAACGGUGAGCUCUAACAUAGCUUGCUAAUGACGGUACCUGAAGAAGAAGCACCGGCUAAUUACGUG